AGUGAACGCUGGCGGUAGGCCUAACACAUGCAAGUCGAACGGCAGCACAGGAGAGCUUGCUCUCUGGGUGGCGAGUGGCGGACGGGUGAGGAAUACAUCGGAAUCUGCCCAGUCGUGGGAGAUAACGUAGGGAAACUUACGCUAAUACCGCAUACGACCUUCGGGUGAAAGAGGGGGAUCGCAAGACCUCUCGCGAUUGGAUGAGCCGAUGUCGGAUUAGCUAGUUGGCGGGGUAAUGGCCCACCAAGGCGACGAUCCGUAGCUGGUCUGAGAGGAUGAUCAGCCACACUGGAACUGAGACACGGUCCAGACUCCUACGGGAGGCAGCAGUGGGGAAUAUUGGACAAUGGGCGCAAGCCUGAUCCAGCCAUACCGCGUGGGUGAAGAAGGCCUUCGGGUUGUAAAGCCCUUUUGUUGGGAAAGAAAUCUUUCAGGCUAAUACCCUGGGAGGAUGACGGUACCCAAAGAAUAAGCACCGGCUAACUUCGUG
rnacentral:rRNA from 1 species